rnacentral:piRNA from 1 species
UNGAAAGGGGCCACGUAGUAGAAUCUUGC